rnacentral:rRNA from 1 species
UACGUAGGGUGCAAGCGUUAUCCGGAAUUAUUGGGCGUAAAGAGCUCGUAGGCGGUUUGUCGCGUCUGCUGUGAAAACUGGAGGCUCAACCUCCAGCCUGCAGCGGGUACGGGCAAACUAGAGUGCGGUAGGGGAGAUUGGAAUUCCUGGUGUAGCGGUGGAAUGCGCAGAUAUCAGGAGGAACACCGAUGGCGAAGGCAGAUCUCUGGGCCGUAACUGACGCUGAGGAGCGAAAGCAUGGGGAGCGAACAGG